rnacentral:lncRNA from 1 species
GUAAAAAGGAGCACAAAGAUUGAUAUAUUGUUGGUUGCUUUAAGCCGCAUUAGCACAAAAAGGCUAUAUUGCGGCGAGAGCUAAUUCGAAUAUUUUUACAAUUUAAAGCAUAUUUUUAAAAUAAGACAAAAAGUCCUUCAAUAUACUAAAAUUCUAGACUGGAGCACAAGGAUAGCAGGCUUAAUGAAACAAAUGAAUCAACAGGUAGAAACUUCAAUUACAACUUUUCAAGAUUUUGGACUGAUAAUGGUGGAGACCAAACCCCAACUAUUAUACUUUUUCCACGCACUGUUCCAAGACCUUUGAUAUAGGAAAAAAAAAGAAAACAAAACAAUAGAAAAUUAGUAUAACAUCCUUCAAAAAAUAUAAAAUAAGAAAAUAUUAAAUAUGUAAGUAGAAGUGGCCAUGAAAUUUAUAUAAAAUUAAUGGAUAUAUUAGUCAUAAAAUAAAUAAUGCUAGUAAACUGGACAUUAGUGAUGUGGGUAUUAGUACUUUUUUUUGGGGGGGAGGGGUUUAAACACAAAGGGUUACGUUUCAAAAUAACAAACUAACAGUUGAAAUGGAAAACAUGAUGAAAUUUUAUUUAAACUAUGUACUUUAAAGCCUAAAGUUAGAAAAUCUACAAUAAACUAAUAAAUAAUAGGAGAAAAGGAGGGUGACUAAAUAAAGGGAAAUAAUACACCCAUUUUAACAAAUUUUGUCAUGCUGUUAACACAUUAUACUAUCAUAUUACAGAUUUUGUUCCAAUUCUGAUGACAUUAUGCAAAAAGUAAAAAGAUAUCUUCUAAGAAAGGAGUAGGUUCAGUAAGACCCAUUUUUGGCCCCAAAAUUAGGCAGUUUUGCAAAAUUGUGAAAAUGUAAUCUUUUAGCUAUUUUUUGGAAAGUAGAAUGCUUCUACUACAUAAAUAUGUGCUGUUUUUGACAAUACAAUGUACAUAUAUCGUGUACUAGCAUCAUAAAGUCAUGCUUAAUUACUGAAAUCUUCACAAUUAUAGCAUUUUAGUUAAAUUUUAGACGGUCUCCGUCUUAAAUGAAAGUGGCCGCAUUCGUGUUCAUUCAUAAUAUUGAAAUGUAAGUUGUAUUUGAUGAUAAUACAUAACAUAUAUAAAGGUUGAGGAUGAACACGGAUGCGGCCACUUUCAUUUUUCAACAGAUAUAUCAUGUUAAGGAGGGGUAUUUGCGAAAAAUACCAGUCGAGA